GCUGAAAGCAUCUAAGCACGAAACUUGCCCCGAGAUGAGUUCUCCCUGACUCCUUGAGAGUCCUGAAGGAACGUUGAAGACUACGACGUUGAUAGGUCGGGUGUGUAAGCGUAGCGAUACGUUGAGCUAACCGAUACUAAUGAACCGUGAGGCUUAACCUUACAACGCCAAAGCUGUUUGG
rnacentral:rRNA from 1 species